rnacentral:rRNA from 1 species
AUUGAACGCUGGCGGCAGGCUUAACACAUGCAAGUCGAGCGGGGAAGAGUAGCUUGCUACUUUACCUAGCGGCGGACGGGUGAGUAAUGCUUAGGAAUCUGCCUAUUAGUGGGGGACAACAUCUCGAAAGGGAUGCUAAUACCGCAUACGUCCUACGGGAGAAAGCAGGGGACCUUCGGGCCUUGCGCUAAUAGAUGAGCCUAAGUCGGAUUAGCUAGUUGGUGGGGUAAAGGCCUACCAAGGCGACGAUCUGUAGCGGGUCUGAGAGGAUGAUCGGCAACACUGGGGCAGAGACACGGCCCAGACUCCUACGGGAGGAAGGAGUGGGGAAUAUUGGACAAUGGGGGGAACCCUGAUCCAGACAGGCCGCGUGUGUGAAGAAGACCUUUGGGUUGUAAAGCACUUUAAGCGAGGAGGAGGCUACCGAGAUUAAUACUCUUGGAUAGUGGACGUUACUCGCAGAAUAAGCACCGGCUAACUCUGUGCCAGCCGCCGCGGUAACAC